rnacentral:rRNA from 1 species
UGUUUAUCAAAAACAUUGUCAUUUGAUCUUUAUAAAUGAUAAAUCCUGCCCUAUGGAAAACUAAAUGGCCGCGGUAUCUUGACCGUGCAAAGGUAGCAUAAUAAUUUGCCCAUUAAUUGUGGGCUAGUAUGAAUGGACAAACGUAGUUGCAACUAUCCCCUUUAAGCCUAUAUAACCUAAUCUCCAAGUGAAGAAGCUUCGAUUAACUCGUAAGACAAGAAGACCCUAUAGAGCUUUACCCUUAUUUUAUUACCUAAAUAAUUAUCGGUUUGGUUGGGGCGACCAAGGAACAUCCCCAUCUUCCUAAUUACUAAAGAUCAACACCUCUCCUUUAUGAUCAUCAAUUAGAUCCCACAGAACCCAGCUACCUUAGGGAUAACAGGCUAAUUCUCCUUAAGAGCCCUUAUUAACAGGAGAGUUUGGCACCUCGAUGUUGGCUUAGGACCUCUUUAUGGUGCAGCCGCCAUAAAUAGAUGGUUUGUUCAACCAUUAAAAUCCUACGUGAUCUGAGUUCAGACCCGGA